UCUCUGUUUAGCUCAGCUUGGUAGAGCGUUCCGUUUGGGGCGGUAAGGCCGGAGGUUCAAGUCCUCCAACAGAGACCAA
rnacentral:tRNA from 2 species